rnacentral:rRNA from 1 species
GUAGAGGAUGCUUCUGGGCAGCGGCCCGUCUAAGUUCCUUGGAACAGGACGUCAUAGAGGGUGAGAAUCCCGUAUGCGACCGGUUGGCACCCGUCACGUAGCUCCUUCGACGAGUCGAGUUGUUUGGGAAUGCAGCUCUAAAUGGGUGGUAAAUUCCAUCUAAAGCUAAAUACCGGCCAGAGACCGAUAGCGCACAAGUAGAGUGAUCGAAAGAUGAAAAGCACUUUGGAAAGAGAGUUAAAAAGCACGUGAAAUUGUUGAAAGGGAAGCGCAUGCAACCAGACUUGUCGGCGGUGUUCCGCCGGUCUUCUGACCGGUCUACUCGCCGCCGGCAGGCCAGCAUCGUCUAGGUGCGCCGGAUAAAGGUGUCGGGAAUGUGGCCCCUCGGGGUGUUAUAGCCCGACACACAAUACGGUGCCGCCUGGGCGAGGUCCGCGCUUCGGCUAGGAUGCUGGCGUAAUGGUUGUCUGCGGCCCGUCUUGAAACACGGACCAAGGAGUCUAACAUCUAUGCGAGUGUUCGGGUGUCAAACCCCUACGCGGAAUGAAAGUGAACGGAGGUGGGAACCCUUACGGGCGCACCAUCGACCGAUCCUGAUGUCUUCGGAUGGAUUUGAGUAAGAGAAUAGCUGUUGGGACCAGAAAGAUGGUGAACUAUGCCUGAAUAGGGUGAAGCCAGAGGAAAU